rnacentral:tRNA from 1 species
GGUCCCAUCGUCUAGUGGCCUAGGACAUCGCCCUCUCAAGGCGAAAACACGGGUUCGAGUCCCGUUGGGACCACCA